UGUGGUAAGAGGAACGUCUGAGUCCCAGUCCCAGUCCUGAGAUCUCCGGUAAGUCCCUCUCUGUAAAAUAUGAUUGCUCUAGUGCAUCAGUUAGUUAAUUCAUUCCUUCACUCACAGGCUAAAUAUCUUCUGCAAGCCUACUGUAGGAGUGAGGAGGAGGUGCGGGAAAGGGCCUGGGGGGUCACAGAGCUUCCACACAGAGUCAUAUACACAUGUAUACACAGAAAUAAAUACUUACAUAAAAGUCAUGGGGAGUCAUGGGCUGCCCCAGGCCUCUCUGGAGGUCAGUGGCAGAGGCCCUAGGCCUCUGGAUGCCUGUCCCAAGACUCUGGCCCCUGAACCUCCUCUGUGCCCCCUCCUGAGGCCCUGCCUAGGCUUGUUUCAGGGUCCUUCAUUCACUUGCCCCCCACAUCAUGCCAUCAGCAGGAAUUCCAGAGCAUGGCCUUUCACAGGAAACUCUAUAGAUUGAGGGGAUGAGAGUGGAAGACUGAGGCCAGCAAGGGCAGGAGAUUGGCCCCAGGUCACUCAGCACAUCUCCAACCCAGGGAGAGAAGGAGAGGAUCCAGGGUGCUGGAGCUGGUGGCAGAGGUUUGGGUGGGGGUGGGGUGGAUGAAUGACAUAGCAUGAUGUGGUGGGCUGGACAGAUGUAUGGAGAUUUGGCAGACCUGAGUCAGUCCUAGCUCUGCCUUGAACAAUAUAGAAGUUAUUUUUAUAAAAGAUAAACUCAGAUCCUACUUUUCUUCCCUUGCCUAAAACCCUUCACUGGAUUCCUGGCGCUCUUUGAAUGCAGUCCACAGGCUUUCCUCUGGCUCGGGUGGCCCCAACAUGGUCCAGCCCCUGUACCUCGCUGCUCCUCUCUGCUCCAGCCACACAGCACUUGUGUUUCCCCAUCUUGGGGCCGUUGCACACGGAGUCGUCUAUACCUGCAUUUUCUCUCUCUUCUCUUUGUGCCUUCAGUCUCAGCAGAACCUUUCUUGAUUCCCCCCUUCCACCCACCAAAUGAAUCUCCCUCUGUUGUCCUCACUUCUGGCCUCCUGCUCUUUUCCUUUCCAGCACUUACCUCAAUUGGUAAUCAUCCAUUCAUCUGUGUUCUUUCUUGUUUAAUACCGCUCUCCUCUCCAGCCUAUGAGCUAUGCAAGAGCAGAAUGCCUGCCUGUUUUCCCAGCCCGGAUCCUCGGUACCCAGGACAGUGCCUGGACCAUUGUACAGACUCUAUAAAUAUUUGUUGAGUUAGCUGAUAAAUGAAUGAAAGAAUUUUGCUCCUCUGAACCCAGCGUUUCCUCCUCUGAAAAACAUGGCUAUUUAUUAUUCUGCCCAUCAGGGGCUGCUGUGAAACAUGAAUAAUGGUAAGCAUGCCCACAGCAGGUGCACUAUGAACACUAGUUCAUUCCCCCUCCUCCCUCUCCUGAACUUGCCCUCUCCAGUGAAACAGGACUCCAGGCCCAGGCUGUGAAUUGCUCUAUCCCAGGUGGCUCAGAGCAGCUGUCUAAUCAAAGUGUGUUGAAUUGAACCGAAGUCAUCGGCUCCUGCCCAUCCAUUGACUUGUGUUGACUGAGCAGCUGUCAGACACUGGGUCCACACAGCCUAUAAUCCAGAACCUUUCCUACUUCACAGAGCUCUCAGCCUGGGGAAGAGAAACAAUGCGAAGUGUUAAAAUUACCCAAUCACCUACUGCAGGGUGUGAGGAGGCUGCAGGGAACUCAGCACAGGUGACAAGAGAUGGGCUGGGGUUCCGUCCCUCACCUGGAAUUAUCUCCGGGGGCAAAGGGUUGAGGGUGCCUAAUACUACCUCGCCCCUGACUCUGCAUGUGGGAGCUCCCACAACCAGGGCUCCUUCAGAAGCCGAAACAACUCAGAAGCUGCAACCUUUGCUUUGAGCUAAAAAAAAAAUAGCAGAAAGGCUUAGAAAAUUCUGGAAGGGUUGACCUUGUGCCCUUCCCUCCAGGUCACCAGGAAUGCGUGGAGUUCCCUCCUGCCUCUGGGCAGCCAACUGGAGCCCUGUUGUCUCUGGGUCUCCAUGCCCACUCUGAUUUGUGUUCCUCGGUUCUGAUGUCUGUGUUUCUGUUUAUUUUUUCUCUUUAUUGAAUGGCCUUUUGCUGCAUGCUCUUCCAAAUCCUCUGUGGAACAAAGCCCAGAGUAAAUAAUUGAAUGCUUACACAUUUAAAUAUUUCCAGUGUUGGCCUUGGUCACGUCUCUGCAUGUGACAUCCCAUACUGACAGCCUCUGCUCUGGGAAGCAGAAAUGCCUUUGCUUUCCUCUUGAGCUGUUUCUUUCGAGCUUACAAGUUGCAGGGAGUCACCCCAGUGUCCCGGGAUUUGGGCCACAUGGGCUCAUUCCUGUCUCUAGCCCAGGCCCUUUUCAGUCUUCCUUUCUCCAGGCUGAGGUCAGGCUGUCCUCAGACCCAGCUACCACCCAGAAGCAAUAAUAAUGAAAAUUAGCUAGCUAUGAAUAAAGUGCAUCUUAAUUUGGAAUGAUCCCCAUUUUGCAGGUAGGGAAAGAAAGGCUCAGAGAGGUGACGGGAGAUGCCCAAGGUCACACAGCAAGGGUCUCCUCUCUUCUUGAGGCUGUGCUGCUUUCCCCCAGAAAGCCCUUACUAUACUCCUGACUCUUGCCCACAGGACCCCCGGGUGGUCAGUGGAAAUUGGUGUGUGGGAGGUGGCAGAGCUGGGAUGCAAACCUGGUCUUAGAAAAGCAACCCACAUUUGUUGAGCGUACAAAGGGUGUGUGGGAUGUGAGCAUGUGGGGUGUGUGCAUGUGAGCAAGUGUGUGUGAUUGUGUGGGGUCAGUGUAUAUCUUGGUCAGUUCAGGCUGCUAUAACAAAUACCAUUGACUGGGGGGUUUAAACUACAGACAUUUACUUCUCACGGUUCAGGAGGCCGGGAACCUCAAAAUCAAGGUGUCAGCCAACUCUGUAUCUGAGGAGGCUCUCUUCCUGGUUGGCGGAUGGCCGCCUUCUUGCUGUAUGUAUCAUCACAUGGCAGAGACAAAGAUCAUCCCAGCUCUGCCAUCUCCCAGCUGUCUGACCUUGAGAAAGUCAUUUUCCCUCUCUGUGCCCAUAUCCAUGGCCUAAAAUGGGGUCAGUGCUAAUACAGUGCCACAGGUUGUUGUCAAGAUCAAAUGGGACCAUGGGUGAGUAAACACAAUGAAAAAUGCUUGCUAAGCUGUAUACUGACCUGCUGCGCCAAACUCAGGACACAGUAGAGUGCCAUGAAGACAGUGGUGUUGUCUAGGCUCUGCCGCUCCACCCACCCCGCCCCUGUCCAGUGUCUCUCCUGAGUGCUCCCCCAGCCCAGCCCCCUGAAGCUGGAGCUGUCAGGAAUGAGGGUGCUUCAUCAUGUACUGUGCUACUGUGUGGGAACAUCUUCAGGGAGAGAGGGGAUGGGGUAGGGAGAAGCGGGAGGAGGUCGGGGGUGCCAGCAUCUGCCCAUAGAAUUGCUCUUUCCAAUCUAGAGCACGCCAUAAGAGGGAGGUGAGGGGGGCCCCCUACUGUCCUUAUGAAAGCCCCCCAAGCCCAUGGAGUGUAAGGAAGUGAGGACCUGGAUGUGAGCUCAGCCCCAACCCUGGCAGCUGCCCACCAGCCUCUGACUCCGGGCUCCGCCCUCUCCCCAUCUAAUCCCUGUCCUGCUCUACAGCGACCCUGAAAAACUCCUUCACCACUCACUGUGUCCCUUCCUAGACCUCUGGGACCUACAGUGGCUCCUGCUGCUCCUCUCUGGGUCCCCGGGCCUGCCUCACCUUUGUACGUGCUGUUUCCUCUUCUGUCACCUCCACUUCCCCUCCCCGAGCUCCUGUGCCUCCCUGAACUUCUCCAGUCCCAGCUCUGCUGUCUGCACUGUAAGUGACAAUUCACUCCUCUGUCCUUCCCAUGGGAUCGGAAGCCCCUUGAGAGCUGACUCUGCAUCUGGCCACUCUGUUUCCCUAGAGUGCAGGGUGGCACCUGACACCUUAGUCAACAUUUAUUGAGUGCUGACUGUGUGCCAAGACUGUGCUCAGCCCUUUACAGACAUAUAUUAAUUAACGUAAGAUGACCUUCAAGGACAUAUUGGAGACAGGGUGGGGUUGGGCUGGGAAGAAAGACUUGAAGGCCAGGUGGAUUUGGAUCUGGCUCUGCAUUUAUUGGCUGGGUGAUCUUUAUCAAGUUACCUAAGCUCUGGGUGCCUUACUUUCCCAUGUAAAAUGGAGGUAAUGAUAUUAUCCAUCUCAUGGAGCUGUUUUGAGAAUUUAAAGAGUGAAUAUACAUAAAGGGCUUAAAAUAAUGUCAGACACAGUUUAAGGGUUGGCUAUUACUAUUGUCCACAUUUUAUAGAUGAGGAAACUGAGAGUGGGAAAGUCACUUACCUGAGCUCUCAGCAAUGAGGUGGUAGAGUUAGAACGUGAAUCCAAGAUCUACCUGACCCCGAAGCACUCCCCUUAAUGAUUGCAGCAGGGCCUCAGGGCCUUCGACCUCUUUAGCCUCAGCGUCCCCAUCUGUAAGGUGCAGGGGCUGGAGGGGAGGAUGCCUAGAGUUCCAGUGCUAACACUCUUGCCUUUGUGAGAUUCUCGGUGGGGAUUCGAGACUUGGAACGCGUCUUGAAAGCAAUGGGCUCCCCUUGUGCUUUCAGGACAGGAUCCCGUAUACAGCCCCUGGAUGCAUGGCAGAUUUCUGGUAGGCAGGUUGGCUUGAAGUGAAAUGGUCCGGAUUUAGCAGGUGAGGCUUUGGAGGAGAUGCUUCCAUAGGGGCCCCCAGUGCGUGCUGAGACAGGCUCCAAUAAACCUGUGGUGAGAAGUCACAGGCAAAACAUGCAGGAACGUCUGCUUCUGCAAGAGGCCAGCUGACACUGUCCCCUUCAGAGCUGGAGCAGCUGGUGCAGACCCUGUUUUCUGCAGAGGACCCUGGGGCAGGGUGAAAGCCCUGAGCUGAGAUGGGAGAAAUCAGAUUCUACUUGGGCGGGGUGGAGGGGCCGCUACUGUGUGCCUGGGGCUUUCCGAACCCUGCCCCAUUAUUACCCCUCACCCUCUGCAGGUGGUGACUUCCCAAAUCCAACUACCCCUUAACAUCUUCCCUAACCUGACUCAGGGUCCCCACUCCAUCUCUCCUCAGCAUUUCAGCAGCCUCCUCCCUGGGUGCCUGUUGCAGCCCAUGCAGAUCACACAGAUCACAUCAGACAGAAGCUCUUCCCCAAACCCAAGUCAGGCCAUGUCACCUCCUGGCUUCCCAUCGCCCUCCUACGCUGGCAGACGUUGACCCUUGUGGUCUGCUGCCUUGCCUCUCUCUACACCUGCUGACCUCCUUGCUCCUCUGGAAAUGCACCAAACUCAUCUCCACUGUGGGUCUUGGUCACUUGACGUCCCCUCUGUCAGGGAGGCUCUGAGUGUCACCUGCCUGGCUCUGUUGUUUUGUCUUUCUAAUAUCAGCCUAAAUGUCACCACCUCAGUAAGGCCCUCUGGGAUCUAAAGGAGCUCUGCCUCCCAGCGCUGGUGCUUUUAGUCCAUCUCACAGUUUCCUUUUUAGGCUCUGUGCUGUGCACAGAGGAUACAGCAGCGAGCAGGACAUGUCCCUGUUCUUGGGUCCUUGUGGGUCCUGUUGAUGAGUAAUGAUGAGAACUUUAGUUUCCAUUGAUUAGAAGGAUGAAAAGAAAAAACGAGAAAAAAAUAAAAAGAAAAGGGAUCAUGAGGACCAAUAUUAGCCAGGAAACACACACACACACACACACACACACACACACACACACACACACACACACACACAUAACUAUGAAAAAAACAACUGGUUGUGCCACACAGGAAGCACAUGGGUUGCCAUGGAAACAGGUAAUGGGGCCCUCACCUAUUGUGGGGGUUAGGGAGGGCAUCCCUAUUUCUGUCUAAGAGUAGCAUUAAAAUAUUGAAAGGAUGGGGCUUUCAUUUCCUCCAAGAUAGAGUCUCCAUAGUCCUUUCAGGUCUUCCCCAUGACAACUAAAAAGCCAUGGACAUAACCCAGCAGUAGGCACAGGAAGGCUGAAGGACAGAGGAAAGCAGACUGUCUAGAUGCUCAGAAUGUGAGGAAUGGCACGGUGGCAAGCUCUCUGCCUUUCCCUAUUGCUUCCCUUAUAUCCUAGGACAGAGUGCUGCAUAAGCCCCCAACCCAGAAUGGCCAACAGACACAGACCUAAAAAGCACCAAGAAAAACCUGUUGCUCUACG
rnacentral:lncRNA from 10 species